rnacentral:RNase_P_RNA from 1 species
UUAGAUAGACAGACGAUUGCUAGGUUUUAUGCCUAGAGGAAAGUCCGAGCAUCACAGAGUAGGAUGCCAGUUAACGGCUGGUGAAGGUGACUUCAAGGAAAGUGCAACAGAAAUUAUACCGCAUACCUUAUGGUAUGUAAGGGUGGAAUAGUAAGGUAAGAGCUUACUCGGGCAUGGGUAACCAUGCUUUGGUGUAAACCCCAUCUGAUGCAAGAUAGAGAGGCGUUUUAACGUUACUCGCUAGUCUCUCGUUACAUUGCUUGAACUUACUGGCGACAGUAAGUCUAGAUAGAUAAUCGUCUAAUACAGAACUCGGCUUAUGGCUAGUCUAACCUA